UUUAUUUUUUAACAACCAAUUUUUUGGCUCCACUGCAAUUGUAUGUAGGUGAUAAUUAUACUGUUGAUCUGUCAUUUCAUUCCCAUGCUUAUAUUUAUUUCUUGCCCGUUGGAUGUUCUAUUGCUUCUUUUGACCGUCCCAGUCAAUUCCCAGAUGACUGACUACAAGGCAGCAUAAAAGAACAGUCGUUUUGGAAAUUUAUUAAAAUGUUGGUCCAUGCUCAGCGAGGGGGGUCCUCAUCUUGUAAACGAAGAAAGAAGAAAAUAUUACAUUAAAUAAAAAAGAUAUUACUACGCAGCUGCAAAAUAUGCAC
rnacentral:lncRNA from 1 species